GCGCCCUGGGCGGCCGCCAUAUCCCGGCCCUUCCCCUUGGGCCGCCCCUGGCCGGCGGGGAAGGGCUGGUUGCCGGGCUGCCCGCCGGCGGCCGCGUCCAGCGCCAUGGGGCGGGGGUCCCGGCUGUGGGGGUUGCUGGCGCUGCUGUGCGGGGCGGUAGCGGCGGCGGCCCCGUCUCCUCCCGCGGCGGCGGCCCCGCUGUUGUGUAACGUGAGCCUGGACAGCCCCGCCGAGGAGAGGUGGCUGCCGGUGCUGCGGCACUUCGAUCCCGCCUUCCUGCGGGCCGCCGUCGCACGGGUCAUCGAUGAAAGAGUACCCAAAUGGGCCCAUGAAGUUAUUCAGCCCAUAGCAGCAGAACUGGAGCUCUUUAUGCCACAACCCUUCGCGGGGGAAAUUGUGGGACUGUGCAAAGCCCUGGGAAUAAGUCUUGGAGACGGAGUCCUGCUUAACUUCGCCUAUGAGUCUACUGCGUUCUGUACUAGUAUCGUCGCUCAGGAUGACAAAGGAAACAUUUACCAUGGUCGGAACCUGGAUUAUGAUUUUGUUGAUAUAUUAAGCAAGAUUACAAUUGAUGUGCAGUUUCUAAGAAGUGGACAGGUAGCAUAUCAAGGCACCACGUUUUUCGGUUACGUAGGCUUAUGGACUGGACAAAGUCCACACAAGUUCACAAUCUCCGGUGAUGAGCGAGAGGGUGGUAGAUGGUGGGAAAAUGCAAUAGCUGCUUUUCUGAAUCGGAAUUACCCUGUCAGCUGGCUUGUCCGAGACACCCUGAGCAGAGCAGAGGACUUUCAGUCAGCUGUUCUCAGACUAGCUGGCACUCCCAUCAUUGCUGAAGUUUACUAUAUUGUAGGAGGUGUAUCGCCCAAAGAAGGCAUGGUCAUAACAAGGAAUAGAAGAGGGCCAGCAGAUCUCUGGCCCCUUGAUCCUUUAGGUGGAGCGUGGUUCCGUGUGGAGACAAACUAUGACCAUUGGACUACCCCUCCUCCUUUUGACGAUCGAAGAACUCCAGCCAUCAAGGCUCUCAAUGCUACUGGCCAGCAGAACAUCAAUUUUGACACACUCUUUAAGUAACACAGUGUAUACCACAGUAAUGAGCGCUGCGCUACCAGAUAAGUACCAGACAUGGAUCAGAACUGUGAAGUGAAGAGGUACAAAAUGAGUGAAAAGCUGAAGGUUUCCAAGACCAGCAUGUGCUUUUAAAAUAACUCUCACAAGCAGUACUGUUGUUUUGGCUUAUUAAUUAUGUGAACCUUUCAGGAAAUAAUGACUUGUUAAUUCUUUGAAGUGUUGCAGAUCAUACCAUUAAUGAACUGUAAUGCAAGUUUGAUUGAUUUUAUUGGAAUUACAUUGACAUUCUAGCAAAUGUUGGUGGCUAAAAAUUGCUUUUACUGUUUUUGGAAAGAGUUGUGCAACUUGAAUGUACUUAUGUGCUGACUAAUAAAUAAAAAAUUCAUACAUUUUGCGUGGCCUGUAGGUCUGAAUAGAAUUAAAUACAAAUAUGCAGCUGGUAGCUUGAUUUGUGAAGACCUGUGACGUUUCUCAUAAUGUGUCAUCAUCCUUUUGCCUGCUCUGCAAAGGGCUAGUGAUUAUGGGUCUCGUAGGAUGCGAUGCAGCAGUUAGCUGCACACAUAGCUGUAGACUGCUGAUUUUAUUCAUCAGAAAUCAGGAGCUGGUUUAGGAGGUGUGAUGAUAGAGAUUUUUUUCCCCCCCAACAGAUGAGAGAAGCUUGUGAUGGGGUAGCAGGGAGGUUAGGAAAGGGAUAGUUUUCCUUUUUUAUAUUUGAAAGUUGCCUUCAACAGAAAGUUUAUAGCUAAUUUCUGUAGUGUAGAGGGGUGGUUUGUUUUUUUUUUUUUUCUUUUUUGGGUUGUGCUAUGACUCUUCACUGAAUUUGGGCACUUCUUGGGGGCACCCCAGAAAUACAAAGGACUGAAAGAGUCAAGACCGGUGGAUCCCUUCACAUAAAGCUUAGAGGUCCUGUUCUUCAUUGGACACAAUUCCUGCUAAUACCAGUGAGAAUUUUACCUGGGAGAAGAAGGUGUGAUCAGAGCAUUAGGUCAGAGCACCGUGUCCAGGUACGUGCAGUGUUGCCUGUGGUAUUUGUGCACCGGUUAUGCAAACUGUUCCUGAGAGAGCCUCACGGAGCUGUGGGCCCUUUAUCUCCUUGUGCUGAGUCUGGCUGAGUGUCAUAACCUACUUACCUGCAUCCUCUACUUCUGCCUGGAUAAAUACGCUGCAAGCUUUCCCUUGACCCACUUUGUACAAUGUUAGCAGUAGUGUGCCGGAAUGAUAAAUCUGAAAAACUGAGAGCUCCCGGAGGAAGAUAUAAAUGACAGCAGUCACGGUAUCUUUGAGAUUUCAUAAUUACGUUGCUGUAGUUCACAGAGCAGGCAAUGUCUCCUGAUCCCAGUAGAUUUUCUUUAUGUAACGGUCACCCACAAGUAAAGACAAAAGUAUCCUUACAGGUGUAACUUCACAGUUGUCUUGACCUCAGCUGUGUUAGGCUGAUUAUCUUCUGGCAGUGGUGUGCCCACAUUCUCAGGGGUAUAUAUAAAUGUAAUCAAAUGUAGUAGUUUCAAUGUGUAGAAACAGGUAUGGAUUGGAUAAAUAGUGGUAUCCAUGAAUAUUCAGGAAACGGUUGUCUGCUUCUGUCGUGUUCGUGUCUUAUCAGGUGUCGGGAACUUCCUUGGGCCCAACCACAGAGCAGAUCAUGGAAACGUGGGGUUUUCCGAUACAAGAAAGGAAACUAGAUUUGAAGAAGUCUAUUUUAUUUCAGGUUUUUUUCUAUUUUAUUUUGCUCUUUUUCUUCUAAAUAUUUUCUUAAAGCCUUGCAUUUCAUCUGUUUAUAAGUAUUCGGACAUCCUGAUUGCCAACAAAAUAAAGCCCUUAUGCCAACUUGAA